AUAAAAAGCACCAUUGCAUUUUAGGAAAGCUAUCAUAUGUUGUGUAUUUCAUAAAGCAUUUUCACUUAAACAUUUGUGAAAAGCACCAAGUUUUCUCUACUGCUAAAAGUUGUUUAACAUCAACUAAUAGUGACUUCUUUAUUGUUUCUAAUGUUGUACGGAACAGGAUGCUGAAAACGCCAUUCAACAGAUGGGUGGCCAGUGGCUUGGUGGAAGACAAAUCAGAACUAACUGGGCAACCCGAAAGCCUCCCGCUCCAAAGAGUACAUAUGAGUCAAAUACCAAACAGCUAUCAUAUGAUGAGGUUGUAAAUCAGUCUAGUCCAAGCAACUGUACUGUAUACUGUGGAG
rnacentral:sRNA from 1 species